GGGAGGAAGACGACGCCGGUCGCCGCUCCAAGACCACGCUGCCGCUGAAGCUCCCUCGACGCUCCAAGACCAGGCCGCCGACGCUUCCCCCUCUCAGGAAACAAGUCACUUGGACUGAUUUUCUUCUCAUAAUAUUGAAGGGAACAAGCAUGCUUUUAAGAGGACUGUCCCGGGCCAAGUUGGUGCUUUAUUGAGCAUCUUGUAGUUUCAGUAUUUGCUCAGAACUAUAUGCCUAUCCACUUUGGAUUUCUCUAUUUAUUUCAUGUCUCCGAAAAGUAGAUUAUGAGAUCGGGAGUUAACUGUACCAUGCUUGUAGCUGUGAUGAUAAGAUGCUAUUGUUUGCAUUUAUGUACUGGUUGCAAGAUAUGAUCUUCUAGUGUGCUACAAAGAUUUGAUUUUAUUUAUGAUGCACAUCUACUGUCAAAAAGAUUGUCUUUUUAUCU